AUACGAAGGGGGCUAGCGUUGUUCGGAUUUACUGGGCGUAAAGCGCACGUAGGCGGAUUGAUACGUUAGGGGUGAAAUCCCGAGGCUCAACCUCGGAACUGCCUCUAAUACUGUCAAUCUCGAGACCGGAAGAGGUGAGUGGAACUCCUAGUGUAGAGGUGGAAUUCGUAGAUAUUAGGAAGAACACCAGUGGCGAAGGCGGCUCACUGGUCCGGUACUGACGCUGAGGUGCGAAAGCGUGGGGAGCGAACAGGAUUAGAAACCCUUGUAGUCC
rnacentral:rRNA from 1 species